GGGCAGGGCUGGGAAUGGGGACUGGACAGGGCACCAGCGAACCCAGCAGUGAAGGUGUCUCUGACAGAAAGUCCAAAGUGCACCUCCCUCCAAAACACAGCUUGCCCUCUAAAACCCUGGCAGAAAAUUCCUAUCCAUGAUGAAACCAAGUGACAGGAGGUAAAUAAAGUCUGUGAGAAAGAUGA